GUGUUAGAUCGGGUUCACUAACAAGUGAACCGGUUUUGCCCUAAAGCCCACUCACGCCCCGAUCCUCGCCCUCUUCCCUUCAGCAUGUCACCUCCCUCCCUCUUCUCUUCAGCGACGCUAACCUUUAUCCACCUCUCGAAAUCUGUAGCUCCCCCUCCAUUCCUUGGGUUUCAAUCUAGUGCUUCAUCUUAUCUGAAUCUCUGUGAUUUCCCUGUCAUGAAAUGAGCGACGAGACCACCCUCCCUCUUCUGCAGCAUGCUUCAUCCCUCUCAACCACCCCGUGUCUAGAGCUUUACGGAAUGGUUUACAAAUACUGAAAGCAAUUCAAGUUUCUUCACUAGAUUUGUCAAUGGCAGAAGUUUUGGAGGCCAAGGGGUUGGGGGUCCUUCCCUUGACAUCGAUCUUCUUCCCGGAAGUUCCUCGACAGUACCAAGUUUGCCUUUCCGGCCAUGCCUUCCGGACAUGGAUAGGUCCCUAAUGACAAAUAUUGCUGCUCGUACCAUGGAAGAAUUGUUAAGGCUUGUGCAGACUAAUGAACCCUUGUGUAUGAAAUGGACAACUGACGGGAGGGAUGUUCUUAAUCUUGAAAGCUGUGAAAGGAUUUUUCCAAGGGCUAAUUCUAACUCGAGAAACCCCCAUUCGAGGAUCGAGGCAACUAGAGAUUCUGGAGUUGUGAUCAUGAAUGGUUUAGCAUUGGUUGAUAUGUUCAUGGACUUAGUUCAGUUGAGGGGGUUCCAUUUUCACUCACAAAUUAACCACUUUUGAAAUGUCAGUAACUAGAACCAGUAACAACAAUUUAUUUGAACAUACAGCAAAAGGUUUUGGUUCAAAGGCCAAUAUGGUCUCACUCAUAUAUGCUUUGUCCUCAACAAAUUCUUAAACUAAUAAAACAUAGAAGAAAUACAUUCCACUACAAUCUUACAUCAAAGAUUGCAAAAACAAACUGCAAUAUGAGAAGUAGCAGCCAAUCCAUGAAUAUAAUGUAAAUGGAAACAAACCAUGUGUGAAUAAAGUGUUGGCUGUACAAAGCUGUACAAAAACAAACCCCCAUUAAGAAAAUGUUAUAUUGCACUUUAAGAAAAUAUUAUCCCCUUUACAUAUCAUAUUACACUUCUUGCAAAUAUUACACUUCAAGAAAAUAUUACACUGCCAUUCUCAUAUCUGGCAUAUCCCCUUUACAAACCCAUUCCACAAAGUUACAUUAAAAAACAAACACAAGUCACGCUCAUAGACAAGCAACACCAGGUCAGCUGAUUGUAUAAACAUAAUGGACGCCCAAUCUUCCAUUGUGUAUACUGAAAGCAUCAAUCCUCUGCACGCCCAUAUCUGAUUUCAUAAACAUGUAUACGCAUAAUGCACACCCAUAUCUAGUUUCUACCUGUACCAACAAUGCAAAAAUCAAAUAACUAAACUUAACACUAACUAACAGCUUGAAAAAAUCAAAUACAAUGUGAUUAUUUAUACAUGUACCAGUAAAGGAAAAAUAAAAUGCUAACUAAACAUAAGACAUGCUAACUGAACAUAUUUUCACUAGCUGGUGAAAAUCUAGAUAUGCUAGAAGAUACAUUUUAAUUACUAAAAGCAAAAGCAAAUGAAAUGUUAUGGUCUAAAGAUUAGACGACUCUCUCCUAAGUGGACGAAAAGCACAAAUUCAUUAUCAUGGGAGCCACAUCCAAAUGAGGCCUUAGACUAAUCACAGACUAAUCAUCAGACAAAAGUCUAGAUAGGGCCCUAAUCAAAGUUUUUCCUAUAACAAAAAUACAGAAAAUGUUCCCUAGAGACAAGUAUGGCAAUGCUAUUGAAAAAAAUAUGCCUUUUACCCACCACAAACUACCGCUCCUUUUCAUUUUACACCUUAUUACAUGAGUUUCAAUUUUGGACCCAAAACUAUAGGUAUCUUUCACUCUGUACCCUCAAGUCAAAUAUAACUAUUAAAAUCUUUCUUCUUCUUCUUCUUCUUCUUCUUCUUUUUUUUAUUUUUUUAUUUUUUUAUUUUUUAUAAAUAAGUAGGAAUAAGGCCUGAAAAAACCAGAGUUGUUGAGUAAUUGCUUCGCCGAUGUUAUCUCCAGCAACUCAAAUGUGUGAAAACAUGUAUGCAAAAGGAUAUGGUUAUGUACAAUUUGAUAAUGAAGAUUAUGCUAAUAAUGCUAUUGAAAAGGUGAA